rnacentral:misc_RNA from 1 species
GAUGAAGAACGCAGCGAAAUGCGAUAAGUAAUGUGAAUUGCUGAAUUCAGUGAAUCAUCGAAUCUUUGAACGCACAUUGCGCCCGUCAGUAUUCUGGCGGGCAUGCCUGUUCGAGCGUCAUUACGCCCCUCAAGUCCCCUGUGGACUUGGUGUUGGGGAUCGGCGAGGCUGGUUUUCCAGCACAGCCGUCCCUUAAAUUAAUUGGCGGUCUCGCCGUGGCCCUCCUCUGCGCAGUAGUAAAACACUCGCAACAGGAGCCCGGCGCGGUCCACUGCCGUAAAACCCCCCAACUUUUUAUAGUUGACCUCGAAUCAGGUAGGACUACCCGCUGAACUUAAGCAUAUCAAUAAGCGGAGGA